GAUCACAUCUGCAACUUUCCUCCUAGUUAUAAAGCCUAAUCGAGUCUCUGUGAUAAGGCUAGCAAUCACUUUCUGAAUUCUCCAUGCUAGGACUUUGGCUAUGAUUUUACAAAUACAGUGUAACAUGUAAACAACAACAACAACAACCCAAUAUAAUCCUACUUAGUGGGUCUGGGGAGGGUAGUAUGUACGCAGACCUUACCCCU
rnacentral:lncRNA from 1 species